GGGGUACUCGAGUGGCGAACGGGUGAGUAACACGUGGGUGAUCUGCCCUGCACUUUGGGAUAAGCCUGGGAAACUGGGUCUAAUACCGAAUACACCCUGCUGGUCGCAUGGCCUGGUGGGGGAAAGCUUUUGCGGUGUGGGAUGGGCCCGCGGCCUAUCAGCUUGUUGGUGAGGUUACGGCUCACCAAGGCGACGACGGGUAGCCGGCCUGAGAGGGUGACCGGCCACACUGGGACUGAGAUACGGCCCAGACUCCUACGGGAGGCAGCAGUGGGGAAUAUUGCACAAUGGGCGCAAGCCUGAUGCAGCGACGCCGCGUGGGGGAUGACGGCCUUCGGGUUGUAAACCUCUUUCAGUAGGGACGAAGCGCAAGUGACGGUACCUACAGAAGAAGGACCGGCCAACUACGUGCCAGCAGCCGCGGUAAUACGUAGGGUCCGAGCGUUGUCCGGAAUUACUGGGCGUAAAGAGCUCGUAGGUGGUUUGUCGCGUUGUUCGUGAAAACCGGGGGCUUAACCCUCGGCGUGCGGGCGAUACGGGCAGACUUGAGUACUGCAGGGGAGACUGGAAUUCCUGGUGUAGCGGUGGAAUGCGCAGAUAUCAGGAGGAACACCGGUGGCGAAGGCGGGUCUCUGGGCAGUAACUGACGCUGAGGAGCGAAAGCGUGGGGAGCGAACAGGAUUAGAUACCCUGGUAGUCCACGCCGUAAACGGUGGGUACUAGGUGUGGGUUUCCUUCCUUGGGAUCCGUGCCGUAGCUAACGCAUUAAGUACCCCGCCUGGGGAGUACGGCCGCAAGGCUAAAA
rnacentral:rRNA from 1 species